rnacentral:rRNA from 1 species
UACAGAGGUCUCAAGCGUUGUUCGGAAUCACUGGGCGUAAAGGGUGUGUAGGCUGUGCGUUAAGUCAGAUGUGAAAGCCCAGGGCUCAACCUUGGAACUGCAUCCGAUACUGGCGUGCUAGAGAAUUGGAGAGGAGUCUAGAAUUCACGGUGUAGCAGUGAAAUGCGUAGAUAUCGUGAGGAAUACCAAGUGCGAAGGCAGGACUCUGGACAUUUUCUGACGCUGAGACACGAAGGCUAGGGAAGCAAACGGG